UACGAAGGGGGCUAGCGUUGUUCGGAAUUACUGGGCGUAAAGCGCACGUAGGCGGGCGAUUAAGUGCAGGGGUGAAAUCCCGGAGCUCAACUCCGGAACUGCCUUUGAUACUGGUCGUCUAGAGAUCGGAAGAGGUGAGUGGAAUUCCCAGUGUAGAGGUGAAAUUCGUAGAUAUUCGCAAGAACACCAGUGGCGAAGGCGGCUCACUGGCCCGGUACUGACGCUGAGGUGCGAAAGCGUGGGGAGCAAACAGG
rnacentral:rRNA from 1 species